AACGAACGCUGGCGGCAGGCUUAACACAUGCAAGUCGAACGCAUCGCAAGAUGAGUGGCAGACGGGUGAGUAACGCGUGGGAACAUACCCUUUUCUACGGAAUAGCUCUGGGAAACUGGAAUUAAUACCGUAUACGCCCUACGGGGGAAAGAUUUAUCGGGGAAGGAUUGGCCCGCGUUGGAUUAGCUAGUUGGUGGGGUAAAGGCCUACCAAGGCGACGAUCCAUAGCUGGUCUGAGAGGAUGAUCAGCCACAUUGGGACUGAGACACGGCCCAAACUCCUACGGGAGGCAGCAGUGGGGAAUAUUGGAUAAUGGGCGCAAGCCUGAUCCAGCCAUGCCGCGUGAGUGAUGAAGGCCUUGGGGUUGUAAAGCUCUUUUACCAGGGAUGAUAAUGACAGUACCUGGAGAAUAAGCUCCGGCUAACUACAUGCCAGCCGCCGCAGUAA
rnacentral:rRNA from 1 species